CACCCCUCAAGCGUAGCUUGGUAUUGGGUCCUCGCCCCUGCGGCGUACCCGAAAAUCAGUGGCGGUCCGGCGUGACUUUAAGCGUAGUAAAUUAUCUCCCGCUUUGAAAGUUCGCGGCGUGAUCGGCCAGAUAACCCCAAUUGCUUCAAU
rnacentral:misc_RNA from 1 species